rnacentral:rRNA from 1 species
AAAAACAGUUAAAACUUUCAACAACGGAUCUCUUGGCUCUUGCAUCGAUGAAGAACGCAGCGAAAUGCGAUAAGUAAUGUGAAUUGCAGAAUUCAGUGAAUCAUCGAAUCUUUGAACGCACCUUGCGCCUUUUGGUAUUCCGAAAGGCAUGCCUGUUUGAGUGUCAUG